rnacentral:lncRNA from 1 species
GCUGGAUGUGUGUACAGCGACAGGCUGUUCAUGGAGCAGGCUGUGAGUGCACUGUGAGUGUGUGCGUUCCUGCUGGGGAUUGUGUGAUGAGCCUUUUUGCAGGCUGAACUCUGGAAACAAGGAGGACAAUAGCCUUAUCUCCAUCAGGCUACCAAUCCAGGAACCUCUAACAUAGGAAUAUGAAUCUUCAAAUCACUCUCAUGUGUAAUACUGCCUUUUCCAGAUAUGGCUGGCAACCUCUCUUCCCUAGAACAAGAGCAUUCCCAAGAAGAAGCAGCAGCUGGUGGAACUUGGAGAGCUGGAAACCUUUCCUGAUGAUUCUCUUCAGCAGUAUGACUUAUUUGCUUACUCUGGCUCUCUCUCCUCUAAAAUUAGAUGGUGAGUUUUCAUUUCAUG